GUUGAGGCAUCACUUGCAGCUGUAUGCACUUUGUUAGAUGAUGGAGUUGAUAUCGAAGAAGGUGUCCAGAUAUUGUGUGAGACUGAAGGAAUCAAACCUAUUCUUGAUGUAUUACUUGAGAAACGUACUGAAAGUCUGCGCAGAAGAGCAGUUUGGGCAGCUGAAAGACUACUGCGUACAGAGGAUAUAGCCCUUGCACUGAAGGAAUCAAACCUAUUCUUUGAUGUCUUACUUGAGAAGCAUACUGAAAGUCUACGCAGACUACUGCGUACAGAGGAUAUAGCCCUUGAAGUUGCUGGUGAUCCCAACGUGAGCACAGCUCUCGUUGAUGCUUUCCAACAUGGUGAUUAUAGGACACAACAGAUUGCUGAGCGGGCGCUGAAGCAUAUUGACAGAAUUCCAAACUUUUCACUGCUGAGUUUCUUCAUCGAGGUGUUUACUUCACCAUUGAUGAAAUUGUGGCCAUUUUCACUGCUGAGUUUCUUAGAUGAAUCAGAGUGUUUUCUUGUUGUAACUUGUAUUAUGCAGGUACAUAGUAUUUUCUUUUUCUUUUUUUCUUCUUUAUAGAGGGGUUUUGUAUUCUUCCGUCUUCCCCUAGUCCACCUUUCUUGUGUUCAUUCUUUUUCAUGUCUAUUCAUUCUAUUUUCUUCAGAACAUUAUUGUCCUCUUUACAUGUUUUAAGAUUUAUUGUUGUAAAAUGUAUUUUUAUUCAAUUAUUA
rnacentral:lncRNA from 1 species